rnacentral:rRNA from 1 species
GAGCACUGUUUCGGCAAGGGGGUCAUCCCGACUUACCAACCCGAUGCAAACUGCGAAUACCGGAGAAUGUUAUCACGGGAGACACACGGCGGGUGCUAACGUCCGUCGUGAAGAGGGAAACAACCCAGACCGCCAGCUAAGGUCCCAAAGUCAUGGUUAAGUGGGAAACGAUGUGGGAAGGCCCAGACAGCCAGGAUGUUGGCUUAGAAGCAGCCAUCAUUUAAAGAAAGCGUAAUAGCUCACUGGUCGAGUCGGCCUGCGCGGAAGAUGUAACGGGGCUAAACCAUGCACCGAAGCUGCGGCAGCGACACUAUGUGUUGUUGGGUAGGGGAGCGUUCUGUAAGCCUGUGAAGGUGUACUGUGAGGUAUGCUGGAGGUAUCAGAAGUGCGAAUGCUGACAUAAGUAACGAUAAAGCGGGUGAAAAGCCCGCUCGCCGGAAGACCAAGGGUUCCUGUCCAACGUUAAUCGGGGCAGGGUGAGUCGACCCCUAAGGCGAGGCCGAAAGGCGUAGUCGAUGGGAAACAGGUUAAUAUUCCUGUACUUGGUGUUACUGCGAAGGGGGGACGGAGAAGGCUAUGUUGGCCGGGCGACGGUUGUCCCGGUUUAAGCGUGUAGGCUGGUUUUCCAGGCAAAUCCGGAAAAUCAAGGCUGAGGCGUGAUGACGAGGCACUACGGUGCUGAAGCGACAAAUGCCCUGCUUCCAGGAAAAGCCUCUAAGCAUCAGGUAACAUCAAAUCGUACCCCAAACCGACACAGGUGGUCAGGUAGAGAAUACCAAGGCGCUUGAGAGAACUCGGGUGAAGGAACUAGGCAAAAUGGUGCCGUAACUUCGGGAGAAGGCACGCUGAUAUGUAGGUGAAGCGACUUGCUCGUGGAGCUGAAAUCAGUCGAAGAUACCAGCUGGCUGCAACUGUUUAUUAAAAACACAGCACUGUGCAAACACGAAAGUGGACGUAUACGGUGUGACGCCUGCCCGGUGCCGGAAGGUUAAUUGAUGGGGUUAGCGGUAACGCGAAGCUCUUGAUCGAAGCCCCGGUAAACGGCGGCCGUAACUAUAACGGUCCUAAGGUAGCGAAAUUCCUUGUCGGGUAAGUUCCGACCUGCACGAAUGGCGUAAUGAUGGCCAGGCUGUCUCCACCCGAGACUCAGUGAAAUUGAACUCGCUGUGAAGAUGCAGUGUACCCGCGGCAAGACGGAAAGACCCCGUGAACCUUUACUAUAGCUUGACACUGAACAUUGAGCCUUGAUGUGUAGGAUAGGUGGGAGGCUUUGAAGUGUGGACGCCAGUCUGCAUGGAGCCGACCUUGAAAUACCACCCUUUAAUGUUUGAUGUUCUAACGUGGGCCCCUUACCGGGGUUGCGGACAGUGUCUGGUGGGUAGUUUGACUGGGGCGGUCUCCUCCUAAAGAGUAACGGAGGAGCACGAAGGUUGGCUAAUCCUGGUCGGACAUCAGGAGGUUAGUGCAAUGGCAUAAGCCAGCUUGACUGCGAGCGUGACGGCGCGAGCAGGUGCGAAAGCAGGUCAUAGUGAUCCGGUGGUUCUGAAUGGAAGGGCCAUCGCUCAACGGAUAAAAGGUACUCCGGGGAUAACAGGCUGAUACCGCCCAAGAGUUCAUAUCGACGGCGGUGUUUGGCACCUCGAUGUCGGCUCAUCACAUCCUGGGGCUGAAGUAGGUCCCAAGGGUAUGGCUGUUCGCCAUUUAAAGUGGUACGCGAGCUGGGUUUAGAACGUCGUGAGACAGUUCGGUCCCUAUCUGCCGUGGGCGCUGGAGAACUGAGGGGGGCUGCUCCUAGUACGAGAGGACCGGAGUGGACGCAUCACUGGUGUUCGGGUUGUCAUGCCAAUGGCACUGCCCGGUAGCUAAAUGCGGAAGAGAUAAGUGCUGAAAGCAUCUAAGCACGAAACUUGCCCCGAGAUGAGUUCUCCCUGACUCCUUGAGAGUCCUGAAGGAACGUUGAAGACGACGACGUUGAUAGGCCGGGUGUGUAAGCGCAGCGAUGCGUUGAGCUAACCGGUACUAAUGAACCGUGAGGCUUAACCUU